GAUGAACGCUGGCGGCGUGCCUAAUACAUGCAAGUCGAGCGAACAGACGAGGAGCUUGCUCCUCUGACGUUAGCGGCGGACGGGUGAGUAACACGUGGAUAACCUACCUAUAAGACUGGGAUAACUUCGGGAAACCGGAGCUAAUACCGGAUAAUAUAUUGAACCGCAUGGUUCAAUAGUGAAAGACGGUUUUGCUGUCACUUAUAGAUGGAUCCGCGCCGCAUUAGCUAGUUGGUAAGGUAACGGCUUACCAAGGCAACGAUGCGUAGCCGACCUGAGAGGGUGAUCGGCCACACUGGAACUGAGACACGGUCCAGACUCCUACGGGAGGCAGCAGUAGGGAAUCUUCCGCAAUGGGCGAAAGCUUGACGGAGCAACGCCGCGUGAGUGAUGAAGGUCUUCGGAUCGUAAAACUCUGUUAUUAGCGAAGAACAAAUGUGUAAGUAACUAUGCACGUCUUGACGGUACCUAAUCAGAAAGCCACGGCUAACUACGUG
rnacentral:rRNA from 1 species